AUGACCGUGACGCUCGAGGAUGUCUCGUUGAUCACCGGUCUUGCUAUCGACGGGAUGCCUCUCUGUAUGAGCACCGAUUCUGAUGGGUGGCGCGAGCAGAUGAUUGCUCUUAUCGGUAUGGCUCCUACUGAGGCUGAGGCUGAUGUAGAGGAGGGAGAAGAGAAGAAGAAGAGGGAAAGGAAAGCAGCCGGAGCUGCUUUCACGUGGAUUCAAACUCACUUUGCGACGUGCCCUCCGGAUGCCACUGAUGAUGUGAUCCAGACACAUGCUCGUGUCUACAUGUGGUAUGUUGUGUCGAGAACUUUGUUUCCUGACUCCACUGGCAAGAACGCUCCAUGGAUGUGGCUGAAGGCGUUGACCGUCUUC
rnacentral:rRNA from 1 species